GACAGAGGGUGCAAGCGUUGUUCGGAAUUAUUGGGCGUAAAGGGCGCGUAGGCGGUUUGUUAAGUCGAAUGUGAAAGCCCAGGGCUCAACCCUGGAAGUGCAUCCGAAACUGGCUAACUAGAAUCUCGGAGAGGGUGGUGGAAUUCCCAGUGGAGAGGUGAAAUGCGCAGAUAUCAGGAGGAACACCGGUGGCGAAGGCGGGUCUCUGGGCCGAUACUGACGCUGAGGAGCGAAAGCGUGGGGAGCGAACAGG
rnacentral:rRNA from 1 species